GAAUUAUAUGAGAGGUCCAGCCUGCCCAGUGACUCUGUUCAACGGCCGCGGUAUCCUAACCGUGCGAAGGUAGCGUAAUCACUUGUUCUUUAAUUGUGGACUAGUAUGAAUGGCACCACGAGGGUUAUACUGUCUCCUUUUUCUAAUCAGUGAAACUAAUCUCUCCGUGAAGAAGCGGGGAUAAAAAUAUAAGACGAGAAGACCCUAUGGAGCUUUAAACACGUAGCAAUUACUUCACAACACUAAUCUUUCUGAACCAUUUAAUAUUUAAAGUAAUGUGACUAUAAGUUUUUGGUUGGGGUGACCGCGGAGCACAAUAUAACCUCCACGUUGAAAGAUAAAAUUUCUAAGCUAAGACUUACAAGUCCAAGCAUCAACACACUGACAUUUAUUGACCCAAUACAUUUGAGCAACGAACCAAGUUACCCUAGGGAUAACAGCGCAAUCCACUUCAAGAGCUCCUAUCGACAAGUGGGUUUACGACCUCGAUGUUGGAUCAGGGUAUCCCAGUGGUGCAGCCGCUACUAAAGGUUCGUUUGUUCAACGAUUAAAACCCUACGUGAUCUGAGUUCA
rnacentral:rRNA from 1 species